rnacentral:lncRNA from 1 species
GGUAAUCAUUCAUUUCCUCGCAACGGUUCUACGCCCAGAUCCUACGUGAUAACUUGGCUUUGAGAAAAUUACCAGGCCAGCCGCUUUAGGAAAUAUCGUAGUGACAAGCUCUCGAAUAGGUUGGAAAAAAAAUACUCUGAUCUUUUUUCAUUUGGAACACCUGGUACUGAAUAAUUUUGAAUAUAUAACUUUUGAAAUAAUUGUGAAAUAGUAAUAUGAAUUUAUAUUUUAAGAAAUCGAAAAUUUGCAAAUAUUCAAUAUUGUCAAGGGAAAAUAAAAUUGAAUACGUCUUAUCAAUAUCCAAUGAUGAAAAGUCACGUGCGAAUAAAUUUGCCAGGUCGUUUGGAGAAGAAAAAUAAUUGAAAGAUUUCUUUCUCAAAUAAUUAUUCCUAUUUUUGACCUAUUCUCGCGAUACAAGUGAAAAGAGUAUAAAGUGUGUAAAGUAAAGUGUAGAGAAAGAAGGAGAAAGAGAGAGAAAACGUCUUUUAUUUGAACAGGUCAACCAUACUGUCUAUUAAUAAAAAGAAUCGGGUAAGAUUCUAAAGGUUCGUUGCUUCCAGCUCGCUUAAACUCUUCUAUAAACGUAUCAUUGCUCUUCUACCAUAACGAGCAACACGAUCCUCACUAAAAAGAGGUUACUUUUGUGUAAUUAAUUACAGAGUUUGAUUCACGACGCGACAAAGUACAUUGAAAGUAUAAUAAAUGAAAUUCUAAACGACACCUUGCCACUUUUUCUCACCAUCAUUAAUUACAUUAACAAUGACAAUGAUCUUUAAGGAAAAUUUCUCUCUAAUUGUAUAAUGAUCGUUAUGAUACAAUCAUAACUCAAAUAUAGAAAAAAAACUCUAUGAACAGUAUAAAACUCGAUGGAAUCUUAUUAAAAAUUAGGAAAACUUUAAAUCGCUAUAACUCCUAAGAUAAUGAUUUUCGAUCAAUGAACGAAAGAUUAUUAAAAGCGCAGAAUCUGCUUCUUUGAAAUGCUUUUUCGUUUGUCUCGAUACGACUUCCGGUUCUCGAGAUAUCGUCGCGCAAAGAGAAAGGUAAUUUUUAAUCGUUUACCUUAAACUCGAUUUCAAUCCCGAUUGAAAUUAGAAAAACUUUGAAUCGCUAUAACUCCGAGGAUAAUGACUCGCGGUCAACGAAUGAACGAUCAUCAGAAGCGUGGAACCUUCACCUUUAAAACGCUCUUUGAUUCGUCCCGAUACGACUUCCGGUUCCCGAGAUAUCGUCGUGUAAAGAGAAAGGUAAUUUUUAAUCGUUUACUAUCUCCGUCCUCGUCGGAUAAUCGGAUCUCUCGCUCGCGCUCACCUGACUGACCUAUCCCAAACUCUAGACAGUCGACAGAUGCGAUUCCUAGAAGAGUUCGUAGUACGCAUUUCCAGGAAAAAAUGUAGGUCACUGGGUCGCAGUCCCAUUCAUAACUUCUGCACUAUUUUUAAGCGCUAUGGAAAUUUUGAAUCCUUAUAUCUCGGCAACCGAUCGAGGUAUCGAGAAAAAUCAAAAAGUGACUUCAAUGGCACGACUUCCUCUAUUUCUCGAAUAGGUUUUCAUGAUGAAAUUUUCAAAGUUUCACUGCGUAUUUUUUAAAAACAAUUGGUCUAUUGAUGUAAAAUAUACUCGAAUAUAUUUCAACCGUGUAAAAAUCUGCAAUACAUAGUUGUAAAGAAUAAAAAAAUUAACGUGAAAGUAUUUACUCGUCAAAUACUAUGAAACAUUUGUUAUUUCGUAAAUGACAUAGUUAAAAAAAAAAGUGAAAAUUCUACAAUUUUCUAAUUUAUAGAACCUGCUCAUAGACACAAGUCUAAACGUGUUGUCCUUCAACGCAUGCACGAUCCGCAUCAGAUAGCCCAGAUGAUAACCUUUAAGAGGGUGAUUUACGGGGGCUACACCCCAGGAGGGUUAAGGUACACGGUAAUUACUGUUGCAAAUUCCUUUAAAUUAUAACUGCGUGCCGGGUAAACGGCGAUUAUAAACCGCGUGGCCGAGAAUUAUCAGAAUAUAAUCGGAUUACGUUUCUCGUAGUCCCGUGCGGGGUGUAAUUUAGAACAGCGCUCUCUCGCAAUCAGCGCCGCGAUUAGGCGACCAGGCUAUACGAGGGCGGCUCAUUUAAAUGAGCGUGCCGUUUCGUAGCCGCUCGAAAAUUCCAUUAGCGACACGCUUGGCAGCGUCGAGGUCGUGUUUGUAUAUAGCGUACACUUUCACCCCCUUCGACCUCCCCCCUCGUUUUUUUCACACAAGUUCUACGUUCCUUUUCCAAGUUUGUCCCUCGUUUAUUAAAUAUCGGCUUGUACUUUUAAAAAAAAGGGAAA